CGAAACAUCGGAGGAGAAAAGCAAAGGACGCGAUGAAUUUGCAGCAGCCGCAACUUCAUGGACUGAAUCCGCGGACAUGACAGCCAUGGUUACAGCUCUUACUCAAGUGAUGGGAAGCGAUGAACAGCUUAGCUUCCAACAAUCACCGACGCCUUCAUCAGUACAAUCUGAAGCGAAAAAUGAACCUGCAGUUCAAGAUCAAGGUAUAUAUAUAUACACAUCUAUGGCUACAGUGAAAGAUUUAUCUAUUUAAAGGUAGGUGUAGCAACUAGGGCUGCAUCCGGAAAAGCAAACAGAUAAAAAAAAGAAUUACGCGUUAAAGAUGGGAUUGUCAACAUUUUUCAGCCGGUUGUGCUCCUUUUGUCUGUCGUCUUUCUGAUAUUAACUUGUUUUUGUUCGUAGCAGUCAUGAUCUAUCUCUUUCUCAAGUUUUCCUUUCUUUUCUUCUGGUCCUUCAAAAUUCUCCCCCCCCCCCCUCUAUAUAUACAUGUGAGAGAAAGAGAUCUACCUGUCCCGAUUUUACCUUUCCUUUUCCUUGUAGUCUGCAAGCGACUACAGGCUCGUCAAGAGACGAAAAUGGAAAUAAAUGGUGUCUCCACGCUAGGGUUAGUCAAGUUCAAUGUAUCCGGCAGCUAAGGCCAAGCCUACUUUCCGUAAACAAGUUUCUCUCUCUCUCCGCCAAUAAAAUAAAAAUUAGUGUAUUGUACAGCGUUUACACUAUAUUUAUAUAUAUUCUUUCAUGCUAGCUUUUUUUAACUUUUGUUUCUAAUAUAUAUGUCGAUUGGAUUGUAGAUAAUUCCAGUUUUCUGGUCGAAUAGCAAGCUGGAUGUAACUUCUUCUUAUCUAUAUGUUUACUACUGGAUAAGCCAUAAGUAUUCCCGAUUGUCAAAAUUUUCAAAGAAAGAAACAAACAAAAAACAAAAGCCGUGGUCAAUUACGUGGGAUGCUUUCAUUCCUUUUUAUUUUCUUCUUUGACCUUGUGAACUUAUCAUUCCAUUUCCAAUCUUACAUUCUUUGCUUUUAAACUGUGCCUAACUUUGAAAGUAACUAGUACUGAUACAAAAUCUGGGUUUCUAGUUUCUUUAUCAAUUCACACCUGUUUUCCCUUUUUUUCUUUUUCAUAAUUCCUUGACGUUAUGCGUUGUAAGCUCGAUUUAUAAGUUUCUUCUGCUAAUACACUAACUAUAAUAAUAGAUAUCUUUUAGCUGGCUACUGCUUAUAAACUUGUUAGCUGAUUAUUGGAAGAGAGAAAGUAGUGAUAUAAAAUAUAUUGAACCGUCAUGAUUGCAUGUAUCUUUCCUUCUUUUUCAUUACAUUUGCAAAAGGUAUAGUGAGAAACCAUUGAUCACAAGUAGUGCAAUUGCUUGUUAGCAUGUUUUUCUUUUUUAAUUGACUCCAACAUUUCAACAACUCUGGAAUUAAGAAAAGGAAACAAACUUUGGUGACCAAGUUACGACAUAAAACUACUUUCAAUAUACAUUAUGGUUCUAAUAGAGCACUACCUAAUAUCCCACUACUUUGCUGGUUUCCGUUUGUGCCGUGAUUGCAUGCAAAAUACCAUGCAGAACUAUAUAAAAAUAUUAUAUGCUAAAAAUUAAUAGUGUUAUUUUCCUUUUUUGCUUUUCUUAUAUCAUAAACCUGGCUAAAUUUGGAAUUAUUUUGUAUGUGCUAAAUAUUGAAGGGUGAGAGGCAAUUGGUAAACUUCUUUGACACUUGUAAAAUCUUGGUGCUAUAUGUUAUGCUAUGUCAUGUCUUCAUCCAUUGCCUUCUUGCAUGUGAAGAAAACACGAGGAAAAGACAUUACAGAGGAGUGAGGCAAAGGCCAUGGGGCAAAUGGGCAGCAGAAAUUCGUGAUCCAAAGAAAGCAGCCCGAGUGUGGCUUGGCACUUUUGACACAGCUGAAGAUGCAGCCCUUGCAUAUGAUAGAGCUGCUCUCAAGUUCAAAGGCACCAAGGCAAAGCUAAAUUUUCCUGAACGAGUCCAAGGGAAUAGGGAGGUUAGCUAUUUAACUGGCCCCGGAGAUUCAAGCACGGUCCAUUCUGCACAAAAUCCUACUCCUGUAGUUGCACCUUCAUCGUGGUCUCAGGACUCAUACCCUCACUUGUUUCAAUAUGCACAGCUGCUUUCAAGUAGUAAUGAUGCUGAUAUCUCAUAUUACACUUCCAAUCUUUUCAAUUUCAAUCAAGAAGAGCCUUUCUCUCCUCAAUUUUCUUCAAUGUCAGCAUCAUCCACCCUCUCAUCACAAUACUACCACCAAGACCUCACAAGAUUUUCAACAAAUUAUGACAGCUCCUCUGGUCCUGAUUAUCCUCACAACUAUGGGAAGGACUUCGAUCCUAGUAACAGAAGCGAGUAGACAAGUUUAGCUUCUCAAGCUCUACAUCGAGGUUCAGGAGGGCAUCCAAAAUUCUACUAUAUUUGCACCAAGCAAAGAAAUAAGAAUGCCCCCAUUCCAAGUCCCUUGCUCCCUCUCCUUAAUCUCUACAUAUGCGCUUACUGAUUUCUUCAAUUCUUAUGACAAGCAUGCAUGAUCUCAACUGGUGCCACUUUUUGUAAAAGAAUUACAUAUAUACACUGUAAUUUACAUGUAUGAAUAGGGAGUGGGAGGAUGAUUCAUAUCCCUAUCUCAGCACCAUGAUUUUCAAGUUCUAUGAUUUGUUUUGCUUCUAUUUUAAUGUCGUCUUAAUGCAUCAGAAGAAGGAAGAAGGAGAAAGACAUAAAGGUUAGCUUCCAAGUUUUUCUUGAUGUCUUUUGAUGUAAACUAGCUAGAGACGAUCAGUUUGCUUUAAUUAUUGUCACUAUUUCAAGUAAUUUAAAUAUAUAUAUAUAUAUUCUUAUUCUUGUGAGAAAUAUAGUAGUUAGUGAUAAUGCAAGUGGAGAAUGUACUGCGAAGAAUAUAUAAUAUUAUUCCAAUCUUCAAAAGGUAGUUUCUUGGAAGAGUAGCUCCUCUCCGAUAAACUUAAUUUAAGUCUUUUACUACUUUUGUCUAAACCUUUUAAUUUAAGCUAAGGUGGUGCUCUUCACAUCUAGUAUGUAUAAAUAAUUAUAUAUAUGUUAAUAUUGGAUAGCAUAAUUAUAUAUAUAUUAGUAUUUGACAUUCCUGAAAUCUUUUCAUUGCUUCAUAAUAACGAAUGCUUAAUGUACUUAUACAUAUAUCAUUUUUUAGUAGUUAUUUUUAUUGAAGUUAUGGGAGGUUUAUGGAUUAGCUUUUACUUGUUUUAAUAACAAAACCUUGAGGUAAACAUAGCUGAUUAUAUUUAAAAUAUAAAUAUGUAAAAUGAUUUUUUUUUCUUCUCCAAUUUUAUAGAAAAAAUUAUUUUAAUUUUUCAUUUAAUUUAGCUUCUUUUAGUUUUUAAAUUUAUGUUUUUUUUGUCAAAUAAUCUCAAAAUAGGUGAAAAAAAUAACAUUUGUUAAUUUUAUUAAUGUUGCAUACACGUGGCAUUGCCACGUGGAUGACACACGGGCAUUUAAUUAUUUUCUAAAAAAUUUAAAAAUUCAAAAAUAUAUAUGAAAAAUAUUUUUAAAAAUUAAAAUAAUUAAAAAAUAAACAUAUUUUUAAAAUUUUAAAAUUAAUUAAAUUUUGAUGUGUCAUUUAAGUGGCAAUCCAUGUGUAUGCAACGUAUUCUCGAGAAGUGGUGACAUAAGAGCACUUGAUUCGAUUUAUUUCUUUAUCUCUCUGUGAAUUGUAUGUUUGUAACAAGAAGGACAGAAUUUCUUCAAUUCCAACCGACUGGGCAUAUUGUGUCGAUUUUUUUGAGUAAUAUACCCGGAAAUACCCAUUAAUUCCUUAGUAGCGCCGUUUCGAACUCAACUAGUACAUUCCAAAAUAAUCGUUACUCGGACAUCUUUACUCUCGGCCAUGAACCUCCUUUGAGUUUUUAAUUCACCCAACUUUUCUAUUUUCCGAUCAAAAGCGAAGAAGAAACGAAUGAAAAAAAAAAGAAAUAAAAGUUGCUAACUCAAAACCAAAUCUUGAAAGUUUUUUUUGCAAUCAAUAUAGUAAAUCAAUAUAGAUUUAUAGUAAUAGUAAAUAAUAAGAAUAAGUAAUACAACGAUUUUGAACUCUAUUUAGAAUUAAACCACGGUAAGGUAUUUUCAAUAAAAUUAACAAAUUUUAAGAGAUUUAAAUGAAAAUGGAAGUUUAAAAAUUGAAAGAGGUGAAAAAAUCAUCAUACCUUAUAAAUAAGAUAAAACAAUAAAUCAAAACUUAAGAUAAAAAUAAUAACAAAUGUAUUUCAAUCUUUCAAAUCUUAAGAUUAUUUUAUUAAUUUUAUGUUUUCUUACUGCACUCUGAACAAAACAUUUGUCAUUGAAUCCUAUUUAUGGAGUGUAUCAAAUAAUUUAGUAUAUUUACGUAUCACCCGUUUGCAUGCGUCCAUGACCAUUACAGAUGCACAAAAUUAACGAAUUGGAAAAAUUGACAUUAUCCUUCAUAGAAUGGCCGGUAGUAAUUGCGUGCCUGAUUUUACUGUUGAUAGAUCAUGAAUUCUUUUAUAAUGCUAUCAAAUAUAUCUUCAAAUUUUACAUGAACUACAUCAUAAAUUUAUAAGAUGUUAAAGAUGUACCAUAUUAUGACACACUCGUGAAAAAUUUUAUGUAAUAAAUUUAUAAAAAUUAUAUGAAAACUAAAUGUAAUUUUGAUUGAAAUAGUAAUAUUGUGGAAAGAAAGAUUUUGAGAUCUUGAAUUUAAAUCUUAUUAUGUGCAUUUAUUUUUGUAAAUUACAUGCAAAAAGAUAAAGUACUCUCAAAAUUAUGUUUGUGUUAUAAAAAUAUUAAAUUUUUGAUAAUUUUAUAAUUAAGUUGGGAUCCGAUUAAAGAUGACAUCCAUCAACUUAAUUAAAGCUUUAAAUAGAAAUACAAAUUCUCUAAUGUGAUUUUGAAAGGUGGUAUUAGAAAUAUAUAUAUUAUCUACUUAAAAUGUUGCAUUUCCUAAACAUGAAGAUAAGCCAGUGGGAGAAAUUAAAAUAUAUUCUGCAACAAAUUUUACUUAAUUUUUUUAGGAAAUAUUCACAAACAUGUGCAACUAGCAAACUAUAUAUGUAGAAUGCGUAGUAUAUGAAUAAAAAAGGGUACAUAUUGUAAUGGUAGUCGAUUAAAUUAAGGUGAUUUAAAAAAGGUAUCUCAUAAUUACUAGUAGAAAUUAAGUUCCCAAUGAACUAUGUCCAUAUGUAGUAGUUUACUGCAGGAAGCAGCUACGUUAGCUCCUCGGGACUUGACGAAAUUCGAAGCCACUUCGGACUUUGCCAAUAAGCUAUGGGUAGCAAAUUAGGCAAUCAAUCUUUCAUAUUCUUUUGACCUUUAUAUCAUAGAGUUGGAUAAAUAUGUCAUGAAGGCUUUUUGUUAAGUUGGAUAGACAUGGACGCUUUUGAUCAAAUGUACGUUGAAUGGGUCCAUAUAAAUACUAAUUAAUGAAGUUUGAACUUGGAAUCUACCUUUUUCAAUCUUUUGUAUAUAAAAUAAAAUACUUAUAUAUAUAGCAUAGGAUAGAAGUAAAGUAAUGAUGAUAAAACAUCAAGGGAACAUUUGUAUCUUAAUUUAUACCAACUCCGUUGUUCGAUUCUUUGCUACUAUAUAGAUAGAUAUCUAUAGCAGAUGAACAUGCUCCUCACGUUGUUUGCUUUUCUUCUUAUGCUUGGUUUGGAUGAUGAUGCCAUCCUCCUUAUUUUACCAAUGGAUUAUCUCCAAGGGUUGAUAGAUCAUGAUUAAUCUGUUAAAGAAAGAAGAGAUGCAAGUCGUGAAAGAUAUUGGUCGCACAUGAUGCUUUCCAAUCAAAUAGGAAUAGGAGUUCUAUCAAUCAAAAUCAAAGGGGGGUCACUUCACUUCCUAUAUGUACAAGAUAUGUGCAAUUAGGCGCCUGCCUGCAUGUUGCCUUUAGUUUUUAUCAAAGGCUAUCCACUAAAUGAAAUUAUCCGCUUUAUUCAUUUUCAAUCGUGUUAAUCAUUUUAUUUGUAUUUUUCUUACAUAUGAGAUGUAAUUAUCAAGGAAAUUUGAAUUUGUCCGAGACAAAUAAUCAGAACCGCCCAAGAUGUCAUUAAUAAUAUCACAUGAUUAGUAUCCUCAUCGUAUUACAAACUACACGACAAGUACUUUUCUAUGGAUUUUAGUAGUGGAAAUAUUAAGAAUGUUUUUCAGUUUAUUAUAUUACUUACUCUUGAUAACACCUUUAAUUAUUAUUAUUAUUUUUUUCAUGUUAUAGCAACCUCAAAUAUUCUCCUUUUCAACUUGAAUGGCGGUGACUUGAUUCUGCUCCUCUGUACCAAAGUGGGCAAGUGCUUCAAGUGAACCCAAAAGUAAAAUUUUUUUUCUUAAAAAAAACAGCUCAAGGAGGGUCCACAUUAAUUAUUAAAUAAUAAUUAAAUAUAUAACCCGCAUGAGAAUUUUAAGUUCUUUGCAUGCUUUGGAACAUGGGGUGAUGUGUGUCCAGAUAAAUUUAAUUUGAAAUGUUUAAAUAAAUAUUUAAUUUACUUACUAAAAUACAAUUUCUUUUUCCUGAAGAAAGCGAGACGCUAGUGUGUUCUUUUUUUUUUAUGAAGUUUACAAGUUCAAUUCUUGGACAUUUCUCCCAUCAGGUGUAAGAAAAGAGAUGAUUCAGACUUGAAUGUAAGAUAUGAUGUCAACAAUGACUUAAACAACAAGCCAAAAAUUAUUUUUAUGUUGUGACAACUAUUUUUAUUAUUUUAAAAACUUAUAUGUAUUUUAUUAAUGGUAUAUGAUUCAUUUAUAAAUGUAAGGAACGAAGACGUAACUUUUAUUAUAGAUUAAUCACAAGUAGAAUGAUAAAGGACUUGUACUCAAAUUUAUCGUUAGUGAAAUUUCAUAAACUAAAUAUAUGCUUAAAUAAAAUAAAAUAAAUAACAAGAACAAAUUUGUGACCCUACUUGUAAACGAGAUAACAAUCAUUAUUCUGAAAGAUGUCGGUUUUAAUGAUGAAUUGACCAUUAAACAAAACGCAUGCAGAAGCCGAAGUGGGCCUUGGCCUAGUUGCUAAAGAAAGGUAGGUUUAGUGGGCCACCCAGGAUCCUCCAAAGCCCAAGAACUCACAAAACGACACCGAAAAAGGCAAAAAGAAAAAAAAAAAAAAAAAAAAAAGGAAGAGAGAAGGUUCUUGGUAUGGAAAUUCCGUAAGCCGCGUGAAAAAUGACGUGAGGGUGCGGCUCCUCUUCCCGAUGCCACGACAAAGACUCUUUUCAAUUCAAUAGGAGGUAGGGGACCAUACAAAAUGCAUUGCAUUUUAACCAUCCUGACGUGGCCUACCAUGCUUUCGGCUUCUGCUCGUCAAAUUUUGCGGCUUCUCAUCUCUCCGGCUCUCUUUUGUCCCUUUCUUGCUUUUUUAUACAUAAAUAUUCUCUCUCUCUCUCUCUCUCUCUACGUAUUUCUAAUUUUUAUCGAAAUAUUCGUAAUCAUUCGAUUUUAUUUUUUAUUUUGAUAAAUUUUAUUUUAUAUCUCUUACACAUUAUUUAGUAAAGCUUUAAAGUCUUUUAAAUUUAUUUUUAUUAUUUUAAAUGAAUAUUAUUUAUUUUUAUAUUAUAAAUAAAUAAGUUAAUUAUAAAUAAGUAACUUGUGAAUCAAAACUAUGUUCAAAUAAAUUAUUAAUAUCUCAAAAUUUUUUCUUAGUCCUGGCAUCAGGCCAUCACAAAAUAAAGUUGAACUAUUAUGAUCUGUCUUAAUUCCUUCGGAAAAUUCAGACUCUGCCAGCCCGCAUGCAGAUCAAACUCAGACCGAGGCUUUUCUACUAUCCAAGUAAAUUUCAUUAUUCAUAGUAUUAUUAGAAUUUUAAAAAAAAGUUGAAAUGAUGUGAUCGUCAUUCCUUUUUCUUAUUUGUAAUCUAUGCAAACUGAUUUGAUGAAAACGAUUGGGUGUGGCUUCGUUUUGACUAAAGUGGCAAAAUAUAGUUCUAUGAUUUUCUCUGUUCAUCAUGCGGUAGAGGAAAAAAGGUAGGAAAUAAAGAAAAUCAUGCAAGGAUGAUUACAAAAGGACAUGCGUGAAAGAAACACUGGCAAAAAGAGAAAGCGAAAAGCAAAUUGGCAAGUGAUAAUCUGUAAUUUAGAUAUGAAAUCAUCAUGAAAAGCUCUCUUCUCUGUUUAUCUAAGCGUGUUUAUGAACUAUAAAGAAAUGGGUGAAGGAGAUUGGUUUUGAGCUUUUGUAAAUUUAAAAGUAUAAUAAUAGAUUAUGAUGUGAAUGGAAAAUAAAUUUAUGUAUAUAUUUACAAAAAAAAAUCGAUAUAAAAAUUAGCUGAAAUAAUGUUGAAAAAGUAUAGAUAAAAAAAUUAUAUCUUUAAAAUAAUAUAAUAUAAUUUAUUUUGUUAAUAAUAAUAUUAUGAUAAAUUAUUAAUUGAAUUAAGAUUCAAAUGAUAAAUAAUAUUAAAUUAAUCAAAGGCUUAAAAUAAAAAUCUUGCAAACUAGUUAUUGGCCUAAUGAUAAUAGAUUCGAUUUUGGACAAUCCGUAUGUCUAUCCUAUAAAAAAAAUUUAUGUACUUAUAAUUAUGAUAUGAAAAAGAAUUAAUAUAUAAGAGUUAAAUAUAAAAUUAGCAUUUGAAUUUGUUAACUUUACUUAGAUUGAUACUUAUAAUUUUUUUGUCUCAAAUUAGUACUCGAAUUUAUUUUCUGUUCACUAUAUUGGUACUUGACACUAACGCCGUUAAUAUUUUUACUGAUGUGGUAGCACACGAUUGGCCAUCGCUACCACAUCAAUAAAAAAUUAAUAGCGCUAGUGUCAGGUAUUAAUAUAGUAGACGAAAAAAAAAUUCAAGUUCCAAUAUGAGAUAAAAAAAAUUAUAAAUAUUAAUAUAAGAAAAGUGAACAAAUUUAGAUACUAAUUUUAUAUUUAACGUAAAAUGUACCUUUAUAAAUAACAUAUUCAUAAAUAUGAAAUUAUAUGAAACUAUAAAACCAACCAGAAAUGAAUACAAUAAUCUCUUAAAAUUUAUAUAAAUAUAGUAUAUUUUAAAUAGGGGAAAAACACAAUUGCCCAAACUGGUCUAAAUCUAAUCUGAAGUAGUCUUUCUACUUUAUUAUUAUUAUUUUUAUUUAGCUUUUUCGGAGCUUCCAAUCCCAACUAAACAUGAGAAAGAAUAAAGUGUUACUUUGAAAAGUGAAAACUAUUGUUUGGCAACUAGCAGUUAAUAAUGGCCAAUGCUGUAGUCCUUGAAAAAAACUUAUUUUUAUUGGGGAGACGCUUCAAAUAACGAAUCAAAGUUGAUUUCAUUUAAAGAGGAUUUGGUUCUUUUAUUGAGAGAACAAAGCAUUGAAGUGUUAUUUUUUAAUACGUUGAUUUAAAUUUUAAAUAAUAUAAAUUUUAUUUUUAAGUGCAUAUACUCAAUUUUACUUUCAGUUUUUUGUCUUUUUUACUUUUAAAAGAGUUCGAAGAUGUUUACAAAGUUUCGGUAGAGCUUUUAGGUCUACCACAAAAUGUUUUGUCAUUUUAGCCUUGAUGGCUUCAAACUCGUGCCCUUAGAGGAUAAGAACACUACCAUUUAAGCUUCUUCUUUUUUUGUUAAAGGAUAAUGAAUUUCUUUAUUAAGUGAAGUCUUUGAAGUGUCCUUUAAGAGAUCAACCUAAACCUUAAAUAGUAAAGGUAUUGUCUCAAACCUCACACAAUCAUAUGUCCAAGAUUCAUUCCAAUUUAAUUCAAAACUAUAAAAAAAUUUAGAAUUUAUAAAUAAUUUUUAAAAAAAAUUCUAAAAAUUUGAAAACAAUUUUAAAAUAUAAUAUUUUAAAUUUAAUUAAUAAUUUUUAUAUAUUCGAAAUAAAAAAGUUUGAAUUAAUAAUUUUUAUAUUCCAACGUUGUAUAUAAAUUAUUAUUAAUAAAAAUUAAUAAUAAUAUCCAAACACAUUUUUACCUCUUUCAAUUGUUUUCCUGGAAAUGAUGGUUUAUUCGAAUCCUGUAUGAUAUAUCUAUAGUUGGUGUCUUAACGGUGUAAUUCUUUGUGCAGAGGUAUUUUACCUGCCUUGGAUCUCUUUAGUAGUAAAUACUAAUAGUAAUACUAUGGUGGGGGUAAGUUCACGCCAUUAGGUUGCCAUUUUCAUAGUCAAAUUUCGAUUACAUUAUUGCCUUUAUCAGUAUUGUUUAGGAUCAUGCCAUUAAUAGUUUUGUUAAUAAUCUGUAUAUUCAAAUUUAUAUAUACAAAAUUCAAAUAACAACAUUAUUAAUUCAAUUUUUCAAUUGAAUUUUUAAAAAUUUUAAUAUAUAAAAGUUAUUAAUAAAAAUUUAAAAAUUUAGAAAUUGAUUUAUUUAUACAUUUUAGAUUUUUUAAAUAAUUACUCAUAUUCUUUUAUAAUAGUUUUGAAUUAAUUUGGAUAUAUAAUUGUCCAGAUUCAAAUGAACAUGUAAUUUUUAUUAAUUAUUAUAUAUAUAUAUUUUUAAAAUAUCAUCACAUCGGCUUAUUUUCAUGUGACAUGUCAUGUGUCAUCUCUUGAUUGUUACCAUCAACUACAUUAGCGCCUUUAACAGUCAAAUCGGUUAAUUUACGAUUUCCGCUAAUCAAAUGGCCUAAUUGAUAUUUUAUUAGUCAUUAAGGACUCAAUAAGGUUUAUUUAUUUUAAAGAUCUAAUAUAAUAUUUUUAAUAGUUACAUUUUAUUCUCAUUUCGUCAAAUACACAUCUUAAUAUUAUAAUAACUAAUCUUACUAUUACCGCUAUUUUUGUGUUGUCCGAUAAUUAAAGGAUUCCAUAAUCUAAAAGAAUCCUUAGAAUCCAAUGGCACCCCAAAAUUAUCUGGACACGUUAAUGGAAAAAAUCUCAACUGGACAACAGAUGUAUAAUUUUAGUUGGGCUAUGGACCAGCCCAUUUUCUUGAUUGGUUAGAUAUUAAAUUGAGUUUGAUAUUUGAAUAUUGGCCUUAGACCUAAUUUGUUAAAACCAAAUUGUUUCCAAAAUUGAAAAACAAGGAAUUGGGUAGUCAGGGGAUGAUUCUGUGGUUUCGGAGGUUUGAGAUAAGCUGAGUUUUAAAGAUUUAAGCCUAAAAUGUCUAUUUCUAUUCCCUACCUUAAAACUUAGCCUCAUUACAACCUUUCAAAACAACUAUUAAUUUGAAUUGCUAUGUAGAGAAAUUAUUAAAUUUAAUAUAUGAAGGCGGAUUACUACUUAGCUUAAUUAACGGAAACAAAUUGAUUGGAAAAGAUUAAAUACAUAUUAAAUUAGGAGAAGUAAUUUAGUUCAUCUUGUUAAUAAUUGAAUGAUAUAUAUACUUAACGCGUAUAGUAGGAAAGUUUCUAUUUUUGGGCAUAGUUUCACUAAAUGCACAACUAUGGAAUAAAUUAAUUUUUCGAAAGAAAUCUCUUAAAAGAUUAAAUUCUUUUGUAAGUUAGCAUUACUAGGGAGGAGAAAGGAAUAUGGAAACUCAAAAAUUUAUUGACUUUUUCACUCUUUUUGACCAACAAUUUUUGCAAAUUUUGAGCUCUUUUUAGUAUAUUUUUUAAAAUUUAUUACAAAAUAUCUAAAUUGGAAAAAUUCAAGACAAAUGUAUAUUUUUAAUUAUUUUUAUGCUCAACUUACAAUUUUUUGCCAAUUUUUAACAGUUUUAUGCAACAAAAGAACAACUAGACUCGGAGGCACUUUGAGAAAUCAAAUUGUUGAAGCAUGUAAUGACCUAAAAUUUACGGGCAUUGGAAAAGAACAUUAUCGGGCCUCCGUCUUAGCGAAAUGGAUUCGUAAAUAAUUAAUAGAAAUAUUUAUGAGUUUAGAGAUGUGUUGAAUUAGGUUUUAAUUAAGUGAAUUUAGCUUAAUUUAGAGUAAUUAGUAAAAAAGACUAAAGUGAAUAAAAGAUAAAAGUUUAAUUGUAGAUUGAAAGAAAGUAAAAAGGACUAAAAAGAAAAUUAAACCAAAAUAAGAAAUUGAGGCGGUUUAUGUUAAAAAAAAUGAGAUUUUUUAAGUUAAUAUAUAUUAUUAUAUUAUUAUAUAACAAAGAUAUUUAUUAUUAUUAUUAUUAUUAUUAUAUAAAGUAACGAAAGAAAGAAACAGAAGAAAGAAAAUACAAACAGAACAGGGGACGAAACAGAAAGAAAAGAUAAAGAGAAAAGAAAAGAAUAAAUUUAGGGUUUUUAAGGUUUAAUUUUAAAUUGGUAAGUCAAAUUAAGUCAUUUUCUUGUAAUUUUUGAGUUUUUAUGAACCUAGAACAAAAUAUUAUUAAGUAUGUGUUGAAAUUUUCAAAGAUAUUAGAUUUUUAGAUAUUAAAUUUUAUUGAGUAAAAGUGUGAAUUGAGGAUUGAAUUGAUAGAAUUUCUAACUAGAAGUGGGAGAUAGAUUAAAUUUUAGAAUAAGUUAUAAAUUUUGUAUGAUAGGGACUAAAUUGCAAGAAUUUUGAAAUCAGGUAUUUAUGAUGAAAAUUAGAUAGUUAAGUUUAAGUUUAGUUGAAAUUUGAGUAGAAAUGAGAUAUGAAUUGAGAUGGAAAAAUAAAUGAAUUUAGUUAGGACUAAAUUGAAAUUAAGAUAGAAAUUGAAUAGAAAUUUAAUUAUUCAAUAUAAAUUAGUAUUGUAUUAAUAAUAUAAAUUAUUUUUAUUUUCGUAGCUAAUAAAGAACUCGAGACAUCCGCAAAGAAAGGAAAAGAGAAGGUUGACAAAGAGUAAUCCGAGAAUUACGGUUUAUAUUUCUAUAAACCAAACAUAACAUUUAAAUUGUUGUUUUUAUUAUUUGAUGUGUAUAGAAAGAUAUUAAGGUAAGUAUUAGUGUUUUGGUAAUGAAUUGAAUGUAUGUGAAUUUGUGAUCAUUAUGAAAUGAAUAUUGAAAUAAUUAAUUACUGUGAAUUGGGAAAUGAAUUGAAUACCCUAUUAACUGUAUCGGACCGAGUCAGAUAUAAUUGACAUGCCAUAUGAUUAGAAGUGUUCAGGGAUACUUCGAUAUUGAGUCAAUGAGGCACUAUAAGUGUCGUACUGUUACUUCGACUUCGAGUCGAUGAGGCACCUUGUGUGUCGUACUGUUACUGUUACUUCGGUUUAAUCUGAUGAGGUACUAAGUACCGUACUAAUACUGUUUACUUCGGCAAAGCCGAUGAGGCACUGAGUGUCGUAUUGGUGUGUUGGUUGGAUCUGUGUAUCCGUCUGAGUCUGAGCUAUGUUAAUAGGUGUAAACUAUUGCAUUGAAUAUGUAACGUCCCCUAACCCUAUACCGUCACCAGAACAGGGUUACGAGACAUUACCAGUCAGUACAGUCCAAUUCCGGUCAUUAAUUAAAAUAAAUAUUCACACUCAUCCUAGUUUUAAGAUGUCGUCCCAUUAAUGGGCCCUCGCGGUCCAAUAUGAACAUUAAAUUCAAUUUGAAACUAAUUUAGAAUCACUACGAAUUUUUAAUAAAUUUCAAAAUUCAUACUAUAUACCGUUGCCAACCAUAAUUUACUUAUUUCAUCAAUACUUUUACAACCUAAAUAACUCUAAUUAAACAUCCUAGGUACAUGCCAUUAUCAAUACUCAACAUACUUUACCUCAUUGAAUUCGGGAUCGACUUGGGAUGCUGAUUCAACAGUCUAGCCUUAACUUAACUGCGCACGGAAACAAACCGUACGCUGAGUAUACACUCAGUGGUAUUUCUAUAAUCCGAACACUUAAACAAUUAUAAAACUUAUUAAUUUAUAUAUAUUGAACUAUUCAAACUCAAUGAGUAUUCAAACAUUCACUUUCCAACCAUUGUUUUGGUCUACUUUAAAUUUCAAAUCAUUUAUUAAUUUCAAUAGCAAUUAAUCAAUCAGUAAUGUUCAUUAACAAUCAGAACAAUUAUUUAUUCAGUGACAAUCACUUAUUCCGUAACAAUCAAUUAUUCAAUAAUAACUAUUUAUUCAGUAUCGAUCAAUUAAUCGGUUAUCCAGUAACAGUCAAUUAUUUAGUAAAAUCAGAUAUUCAGUAGCAAUUAAGUUAUUCAGUAACAGUCAUUUAUUCAGUGACAAUCAGUUAUUCAGUAAUGAUCAAUUAUUCAGUAAUAUUCAGUUAUUCAGUAACAGUCUAUUAUCCAGUAACAGUCAAUUAUUCGGUAACAAUCAAUUAUUCAGUAAUAAUCAGUUAUUUUAUACCUUUAUUUACCCCUAUUAACAUAACUCGGAUUCAGACGGAUACACGGAUCCAACCAACACACCAGUAGGACACAUAGUGCCUCAUCGGCCGAAGCCAAAACAGUAACAGUAACAGUAGCAAUACGGUACACAGAGUACCUCAUCGGAACAAAUCCGGAACAGUGAUAGUAACAGUAACAGUAUUCAACACACAAAGUGCUGAAUCGAUAACGGUAAUAGUAACAGUAUUCGACACACAAAGUGCCAAAUCGGUAACAGUAACAGUAGUCGGCACAUAAGUGCCUGAUCAGUAAUGUAACACCCCAAACCCGGCCCAGACGUUAAGGCCGAAUCUGACGUGCCACUUUGAAGUCAAAAACCCGUGUUCCCUUUUUAGUGUUUUAAAAAGCCGACUUUUGUCAAACUAACCAAGUGAAUGGAAGCUGGGCACCAGGUAGGUAUCAAUAACAGAGGAGGUGAGCCAUGAAGGCUGCUUAAGUACCAAGAUCUCCGAUUGGAUCCAAUCCUAGACAUGCCCACAUCCAUUGCCACACUUGGUUAUAACAAGUUGAAAUUUCUUUGAGUGAUUAUCUUUGGUAAAUCGAAUAUUCGUGACGUCGUGUUAUUUAAAAAAAAAACAAGUAUUGUUUUGAAAUCACGCCCUAAGUCUAGCCCAUUUGAAUUAGUAUCCAUCAAUUUAAAGUUGUUUUUAAUAAUAUAAUCCCAGAAAAAUCAAAUAAGAAAAUAAAUUUAAAAUGGCCUUAUUACAACCCAAAAAUUAAAUAGUAAUUAAAAAUAACUUAAGAAAACCAGUUUCUUUUUCAAACCCAAAAGUAUUCACCAUGGCCACUCUGAAUCCCCUCCGGCUCCAAGUCACCCACAUCAAGGCUCACCUGCAAGGUUAAAAAAGGGAUGAGUUUGGGGAAACUCAGUGUGUAAGGAAAACCCAUUCAAAGCCCAAGUCAGCUCAAGCCCAUUGGGCCUAAGCCCAUUCAGGUAACAGUGGUACUAGGCCAGAGCCCUUUUCAGAUUACAAUAAACUGGGCCUUAGCCCCUUAUUCAGAUAACAGUAUGGCCCAUAAGCCCAUUUCAAAAUACAUGCAACAUUAGUAAACAUAUGCAAGCCCAUUUGGGGAGACUACUCAACCCACCAACCACUACACUCCACCCGUACCAGCCAUACACUCCAUGUGGGGAAUAGCUCAAUCCACCCAGCCCAACACUCCACAGUUGCAGCCUUGCUGCUCAGUUAACAGUAAAUUGAGGCAAAACCUCCAGUACGUGGACAAGCCACUUUCAGUACUUCCUCCGUCAAUAUCCCAGUCCCAUGCAUCAGAUAAUAACAACAUGGCAUGAAGUAAAUAACAACAGUCAAACAUGCAUUUAGGUCAAUUUAACCCUAGGGGUAUUUCGGUAAUUUAUCUCCUAGGGGUAAAACUGUAAAUUUUCCACUUUUAAAGGUAUUUCAGUAAUUUAUCUAUUUUAGGGUUUUUCAUGCAUAUUCCUACCUUUCACGUACUAACAGAAUCACUACCGAGGGUUCUUACUGAAUUGGGCCCGUUGGCUCAUCAUUCCAAUUUUGGCCCAUUAAGCCUAAAAAUAUCGAGGGCACAGAAAUCAUGCACUUUGCAGUCCAAACAUUGUAGCUUACUAAAAACAUUAAUCGAUUUACCUCACGAGCAUUCACACACUCGCAAAUCUACAAAAUACCAGUUUUCGGCAUUUCGGCUUUUCGACUUUUGCUGAUCUAGACUAAGAAAGAGGGUGUUAGUUACACACCUGUUUGCGACGAUAUGCUGACGAGAUCCACACACGAACCGCCUACAAUUGGAUUACUAACACGAUAAUCUAACUAUUCAAAUACAAACUACGUAUUAACCCCUUACAAUAUUCGGCCAACCACACCUACAGAUCAUAGUAAGCUUAUAAGAAAUCAAUAAGCAACUCAUUAACAAAUUUUUGUCAAUGUUUACCACAUAAUCAUAAUUUCACAGCAAGCUGUCUUCCUGAGCAACAGUCACUAAAUCAUUUAUAACUGGAGCUACGAAACUCCAAAUCAAGUGCCGUUAAUUUUCCCUGAAAAUAGACUCAUAUAUCUUCUAUCCAUAAAAUUUUCAGAAUUUUUGGUAUGGCCAAUCAAUACCAGAUUUUUCUUAAAUUUUCCCAUGUUUCACUGUUUGACUAAUCUGACCACUCUUCAUUACGAAUCAAAUUUCUCAUUGUACAGAAUUCAAAAUAUGUUCUCGUUUAUUCCAUUUGAAACUAAACUCAUUAGGCUUUAAUUACAUAAUUUAUGCAGCUUCUAACUCAUCUCUCACAAUUUAUGGUGAUUUUCCAAAGUCACGUUACUGCUGCUGUCCCAAGCAGAUUUAUUACCAAAUCACUCUUUCACACCUAACUUGCAUGCUUGUUAUUUAAACAUGUAUAUCACCAAUCAAUCAUCACAUAUCUAUGAUUUUACUUAAGUAUAAUCUCCAUUUCAUCAUUUUAAAGCACAACAUGUUAGCCGAUUUUUCCCCUUAGCAUCUAAGGCACAUGCAUGCUCAUUUGUUUGGCUCAACUUCACCUAUCUUCCAUUUUUCAUCAAAAGAACAUGAAACAACAAC
rnacentral:lncRNA from 1 species